rnacentral:lncRNA from 1 species
ACGACGACGUGAAAGAGGAAAAUGUCUAGGCGCGCGCUGUUGCUAUGGUAACUCGCACCCGCCUCUUUGCCUUGGAAGGGCGUUUGUGGCCUGUUUCUCCGACCCCUAUCCUUUCCUGCCUUUGGACCUGUUCUCAGGCUGUUGGACUUGGGUCUUGGACUGGAACUAUACCCCUAGCUUUCCUGGACCUCCAGCUUGCAGAGGGACUUAGCUGCAAAUCAGGUAAUAGGUGAUGUCCAUGCAUCAGAAGUGAGAAGGUGGGAAGAUAGAGUUGUCAAGUUAAGAAAUAUGGGAAAAGCUUACAAGUGCCUUGAUAGGGAAUGUGGCAUUGAAAAGAACACAUCAUACCUUAUUUCUAGCUUGGACAGUUCUGCCAAACAUCUAGGUUUAAAAGCAGUUCAAAGCGUGGUACAAAGAAAAAAAUCCACUUAAAAUAUCUCAGCUUGACUCUCAUCACUUUGUACAAGGUUCGAAUGUGAUCUGGACACCAACACACCAAGCUGAGCUUUGUGUGAGGAACUAAAUGUUAGACUGAAAUGGGAAACUGAAGCAGGCCCCUUGGAAAUGAAAGAGCUCUACAGUGAUUUAUGAAGAGAAUCAAAGAGGAUUUCUGAGAGGAUGCAGGCAAACCCAAAGGCUACAGCACCACCACACUCCCUCCCCAUAUCUGCAGAGAACAACAACAACAGCAUUUUACAGAUGAAGUUGAAGUCCUCUUUGACCACCAAACUCAGUCCUUUUACCCUUGAAUCUUCCGGAUGCAACGAGGAUGGUGAGUUUGGUGUGUGUUUUAAGCAAGAAUUUUAUAUUAAAAAUAUGUAUAUAGUAUGAUAUCACCCUAUAAAUUAUUUCCACAGCUUUCUUUUUUCCUCAACAUUUUUUUUUUUGAGAUUUAACCAUAGUAAAUAGAAAACUUUCCAAGGAAAGCCUUAAGAACUAUGUGAGUUUGUGAGAAUUUAACAAGAGAGAAAGAAAGAAAAAAAAAGCGAUAACCCAGCCAUAGGCUACAGUACAUAUAUUACCCCAUGAGCUGAAUGGGAUUUAAUGGGAGCACAUAGGAGGUCUUAGCAUGAAUGCAAUGAUUUAGUAGCUCGGCACACACAUCAACCAACUGUCAAGCUCCUUUGAUUCUCACCCCCCUUUCUAAUGAAAUGAGGGAGCCAUACCUCAUCAGAAUCUUUAAAGAAAAUAAGGAAUCUCUUUACAAUUCAGAGAUUUUCUUUAUUUUCAAAAUAUACUCCUUUAGGUUCCUGUCGGAUCAUAAAGUCAUCCUUAAAAUUUCUCCAGGGUUAAAAAUGUUGCGCGGCUCUAACGUGAUCGUAUAGACAGUUUGAAGACAUGAAACUAAGUUAUUGUGAAGCUUUCAUAGUGAAGUUUCCAAAUAGCUGAGAACAUAGGCGAGUUUUCACUUUACUUCCGACAGAUAGAAACUAACAUAUCAUGGAAGAAAAUAUUAUAUGAAUUGACUAUUCAUGAUUUGACCACAACCCAACCCUCUUAGUAAUCUAAGCAAGAGCUAUUUAGUUGUAAAAGAUCAGAACAUUAUCUGGGACUCGUCAUUCUUGGUCUAACCCUUUCGCUGCUCUGAAACACAGUCUUUAAAGAUAGGGAUGAGAAGGGGGGAUGGGAAAGAUAAGCAGAGUAAUUCAGAUAUCAAUAGAUAAUAUGAUUAUCCUUCUCUAGCAUGUGUGAGUUUUAUUAGCAUAAAUAAGUGCUGUGUAAUGAAAAUAUUUUUACCAGAAAACCAUUUUAAGAUUUAAUUUGUGCUAGUUAUUCUCAUUUAUUUGAAAUUCACCAUUCGAAGGCCAAGAAUAGGAUUUACUUGUGUUAACACUGGAGUUUUACGUACAGGUACCUCUUCAAUUUCAAAAUUGAAAUAGUUGCAAUAUGUCUGAUUUUAACAGAAUUUCUGGUUAGUUUCAGGAGCCAUGCAGAUCUGUAGUCAUAGAUCUCACGCUAGUUUUCUCAGAAUCAAAUAAGCAAUGAUGCCACAAUUACAAUUAAAUAAAAAAGGAAA